UGUUAAAAAAUUCAUCCAUUUGUACUAUUAAAAACUGGGAUAGCUUAUGAAAUAACCUGACAAUAAUACAUGGUGUGCCACAUGUACCUCAUGUUGAUGUAUAAGGACUAGUUUUUAAUAGUAAAAAUAGAUAAAAUUUAAAUA
rfam:Gossypium raimondii chromosome 10, whole genome shotgun sequence.